rnacentral:rRNA from 1 species
UACGGGGGGGGUAAGCGUUGUUCGGAAUUACUGGGCGUAAAGGGCUCGUAGGCGGCCAACUAAGUCCGACGUGAAAUCCCUCAGCUUAACUGGGGAACUGCGUCUGAUACUGGAUGGCUUGGAUCCGGGAGAGGGAUGCGGAAUUCCAGGUGUAGCGGUGAAAUGCGUAGAUAUCUGGAGGAACACCGGUGGCGAAGGCGGCAUCCUGGACCGGUAUUGACGCUGAGGAGCGAAAGCCAGGGGAGCAAACGGG